AUUUAAGCCUAUUCAGCCGAACCCUAGCCUCAUUUCCUCUCUUCAGCCGCACUAAGCCAAAUCCCUUGGCCUUGACCUCAUCGCAGCCGACAACGGGCGCCUUCAUCCCUCGCCAAUGAUUUACAGCCCCGUGAUUCCUCCCCCACCUUCGAUUUCAACGAAGUCAAGAGGAAUCAAUGGCGGAUUCGAAGGGUAAGGGGUGUGCGUUGGCGUACGGGGACUGUGCUGGCGUACGGAGGCUUGGGCGUGGCUGCUGAAAUGCUGAAGGGUACAGAGGCAUGGUGGCUUGGCUGCGGCGCGAGGGGGAGAAACCUUAGGCUUCUAGUGUUUUAGUUUUUCGGGCCUGUUGGGCCGUGAAUUCUUGGGCUGUGUAGUUGGACUGACGGACUGUUAAUAUUUGGAUUUUUUUGUUCUUGUUUAUUUAUUAUUUUUAUUGUGAAUAGGGCCAGGGCAUAAUUGACUUAUUAUAGUGUUGACACCAAUUUUCUUUUCAUAAUAA